rnacentral:rRNA from 1 species
GAUGAACGCUGGCGGCGGGCCUAACACAUGCAAGUCGAGCGAACGCACGAGAAGCUUGCCUCUUUGAUGUUAGCGGCGGACGGGGGAGUAACACGUGGAUAACCUACCUAGAUGACGGGGAUAACCUCGGGAAACCGGUGCUAAUAACGGCUAAUAGUUUCAACCGCAUGGAUCAGAAGUGAAAGACGGUCUGGCUGCCACUGAUAGAUGGAGCCGCGCUGCAUUAGCUAGUGGGUAAGGUAACGGCUUACCAAGGCAACGAUGCAUAGCCGAGCUGAGAGGAUGAUCAGCCACACUGGAACUGAGACACGGUCCAGACUCCUACGGGAGGCAGCAGUGGGGAAUAUUCCGCAAUGGGCGCAAGCCUGACGGAGCAACGCCGCGUGUGUGAUGAAGGCCUUCGGAUCGUAAAACUCUGUUAUUGGGGAAGAACAUAUGUAUGUGAAUCUGUGCACAUAUUGACGGUACCUAAACAAAAAGCCCCGGCUAACUACGUG